UCGAAGCAAAGGGAAGACGGCUUUAGUUCUCUGCCUUUAGUUCUGAAGCUGGAAAUGAAUUGUGUAGCAGGACCUUUGUUAUAGACUGUUUGUGAUCUUUUUUUUGUUGUGGAGGACUGCGUUAUCGAUGGGUUGUGAUCCAUAUUCUAUGUGGAAAACUUCAGUUUGGGCAAGUAGUUCGUCGUGUAACUUGAGUGACACUUUCUGGAUAUUAAUUGCCGAGUUGGAUUGUGGACUAUCUCCUGCAGAAUCUGGAAUAACGGCCCAGUCUAAUCUCCUAGGACUAGGGACUUCGUUGGUAACUAUUUUUUUCUUCCUUAAUUAAGAGGAGGAGGGAAACUGAAGACUUGAUAACAGCACGGGCUCAUGGUUUGAAACUUUAGAAGAGCGAACCUCGUGGUACCUUUAGAAACAGUAGAACGGAACUGCGUGCGCUCUUGGUCUGAAUAGAAACAAAAAAAAAAAGUACCACUGAAUGAAGCAUUUUUUCGAGACAUUAGCCAAUACCUUUGAAAGAAGACUCUCUCUGAAUAGCAGCGAAACCUACUUUGUGUAAUUUUGUAAUUGGUGAAAUCGGCUUCUAUAUCCUAAAAUGGUUUCUAAGACAAUGACUUGACUGUUGAAUAAAUUUGACAAAAACAGUAUUAUCUAUGGUUUUACUUUGAGCUUUUACCAAAGUUAAUAUUUUCCCACUUCUAUCCAUCUUGUUGAAUUACCUUAUACGGAGAUGAAAGUUAACUAGGGAGUAUAAAGGCGCUAUGCUAGUUUCAAUGGUUUGGUUACUAAACUAAAUUUCUUGGGUAACAGUAUUUUGCUAAUAGUUAAUAUGAAAUGGCAUAGUGCUAAUGUAUUUAGUUUGAGUAACUCCCAACAAAAAUUUAACACCGUAAGCACUAAUGACAAGUCAGCAUAUGCUAAUGGUAUCGUAGGACAUAAGAUAUACACGAAAGGAAUUAAUAUCGGUAAGGCUAAAGUAACCAGUAUUCUAACUACAUUAGAAUUAAACUAUGUAAAUGCUAAUUAGUCAGGUUUAGUAUAACUAAAUUAGAACGAAAAUUAACAUAAUUGCUGCUAAUUAAAAGUAAGGUUAAGGAUCAUUGGACCGCGUUAGGCCUAGCCCUUUGAUAACUGGUUAGAUUAUCAAAGGGGAAUUAACUCUUCCGUCAGCUGUGACAGAAUUGCCUCCUGGGCGACACGCCCGAACUGUAAAGCAGCAGCUUGGUAAAAUAUAUUGGAAACUAGGGAAUUUAGUUUUGAUUUUUUUCAACUUGACAGGUUUUAUAGAUAUAACUUUCUUAAUUUUAGCUUAAUAUUAAAAAAAUAAGAUGGGAUUUUGGCGCUUAAAGUUCUACCUCAGGUUUUAGUGACUGGAAAGGUUGACCCAUGCUUUGGAAGAAGUAAAAUCCACACACUGAAAAUAUCGUUGCCAGUAGACUUUCCUAAUAAUGUUCUACACCCAAACAAAUGGGAAUAAAAAUCUGAUAUGUUUGGGUGGAAGUCUUGCGCGUGAACUAUUUAUCAGCCAGUGAAGAAUUGGGUUCGAGCAAAUGUCAAGUUAGCAUUAAUUUUUAUGUAUUAAAUCUUCUCUUCAUAAUGUGAAGGUUAAUCCUGCAUGUAUAACAUAACUUGCCUAUCUUAAUUUCUCGUGUUUGAAUUUCAUGCAAGUUUCACAACAUUGAGGUCUUGGAUAUUUUGUUUAUACUCUGAUGAACAUUCCUAGGUAGGUGUUUACCAGCCACCUAAAGCGUUGAAGGGUCGUUAACCGUUGCUGAGAGAGAGAGAGAGGAUAUUAUUGAAACCUUCAACUUUUCUUACAAUUCAAUACAUAGCACAGAGAGAGAAAUUACAUAGCACACACACACAUACACACACA